rnacentral:lncRNA from 1 species
AGUCAAACCUGGAUAUCAACCAAAAAACUCCCAACUCGAACAAAUAACAAUAACCACAACCCACCUCGUAGCGACGUCAAGUGGCGUAUACACUAUUGCGAUUGGUUUUGGUUGUUGUUUUGGUAUUUUUCAAUGGAUUUCAUCGGAGCAGUAACGUCUUGGGCUGGUACACCUUUUGUCCGGUGGGUAUUCACUGAAUCAAAGCGGGAUUUGUUGUUUCUAUUUUACCGGAGCUUCGUCGAGCUCAGGCGGUGGUGGAAAUCGGAGAAUGGGUUAAAUUUUUGGUGGCAGUGAUGUUUCCCGAUGAGAAUUCGCCAGAAAUUGCUUCUCCGCCAUUCCUCUUCUCUUUUAACCUCUCUCUCGAUCUCUCAUUCUCAAUUUUAUCCCCCCUCUCUCAAUCUCUCACUAUCAAUCUUCUCUCUAUUUUCUCCCCUCUCUUGAUCUCUCCCACUUAAUUUUCUUUAUCUUUCACCAUUUUCUCUUCAUUCCAGUGUGUGUGUGCACAUAUAUUAGUGUGUCUAUGUGAGUAUUCUCUCCAGCUCCCAAUUAUUAUUGUGUGUGUAUAUACUGUUCUCUUGUGGUGAAUGAGGGGAAAAUGGAGUCAUUGCGUGUCUGUGUGUGAAUUCGGUGGAAAGAUCUAUGUAUUUGUGUAUUAUUAAUUGUAAGGGGUGUGGAUGUGAGCAUGAUUGGGUUUGCAGAGAGUUGUUGUAAGUGUCAGGUAUUGGGUGGGAUUAAGGGGUAGGGUAGGAAGUAGGGUGGGGAAUAGGGUAGGGAAAAAUAAAUAGGUAAAUAUUAUUAUUUUGGGAGAGAUAAUGUAAUACCCCAAAAAAUUCAAACUAAUGCUAGAGACAUGCUUCAAGAUAAU